UGCCAGCCGCCGCGGUAAUACGGAGGGUGCAAGCGUUAAUCGGAAUUACUGGGCGUAAAGCGCGCGUAGGUGGUCAAGUCAGUCAGAUGUGAAAGCCCUAGGCUCAACCUGGGAACUGCAUCUGAUACUGCUUGACUAGAGUAUGGUAGAGGGGUGUGGAAUUUCCUGUGUAGCGGUGAAAGGCGUAGAUAUAGGAAGGAACACCAGUGGCGAAGGCGACACCCUGGAACAAUACUGACACUGAGGUGCGACAGCGUGGGGCGCAAACAGUAUUCGAUA
rnacentral:rRNA from 1 species